CAUAUCCCUUCGUCCUGUACGCCUCGAACUGAAUCAUGCUCGUCCCCCCGCUCCGCCGCCGGGCACCACAGGGCUUCUCCCACCACCGUCGGCCACCAUGACGCCAUGCUCCGUCCACUCUUGCUAGCCCCGACUACACACAACCUAUUCAGAUGCAGCGUGCGUGCCGAACCCGUUGCUCGGAUCAGAUCCAAAUGCUCGAUUGUACAAUGGGAGCCGAGACAAAUCUCUCCCCACCGCCGCUGGAGCUGGAGAUUCUACGCGGCGAGGAUCAGCGGUCGGAACUCGAUCUGCCUCCUCCAACUGUGGUGACAUGUGCAUUGGUGGUUCUCGGCCAACCCAGAGUUGUAAUCCGGCGGCAGCCCGUUCCUCAGGAAGUGCAGCACAUAUGGGUGAUCCGAGCUCUAUGUGGUUAGUUUAUCCUCUAAUAAUCUAAUAGUAGUAUUCAUUGUUCUCUGUUUGGCAAAUUCCUUCGGCGAGUCAUGGGUUAGUUUUGGACAGGGGCUGGAGUAUCAGAACUCCUAUGCUUGAUGUGCCCAAAAAUUUAAAACAGAAAGACAACUGAAGCUAUUCUCAGUAGUGAGCAACUCAAAUUAGAAAAUUUUAAAGGUUCGUUAUAAAUUAGUAUAUGCAUCGCUAUGCUAUUACACAAUUUCAUGACAUCUAGUAACUUGUAUCACAUCUAUUAAAUAGUAUCAAGCAGGCUGAGUACCUGUCUAAGCAUUGAUGUAUCAUAUAUCAUUUAUUUAUUUAUUCUUUCAAAGGACGCAAAGGAUUUGGCUUCUUGUGGUGGAGAUAGUUAUAGUACACCAAGGAAAACAAGUAGCACGCCGAUCCGUGUAAGUAUUAUUCAAUGUUCAGUGUAGAAGUACCAAAAUUUAGCUCACAAAUGAUAAUGGGUGGAAACUCUAGGUUUUAAUGGGUGGCGAUUUAGGCAAAAAAAACAAAAUGGCCAAUGCCAUAAGCAAAAGCUCUGACAACUUUUUUUAUGUGUUUGUGUGGCUACAUAAAUCAAGUAAUCAUUCACCCUUUUAUGAUUUUUUUUCUUGGAAUCAAACUUGCUGCUACAGAUCAGGCUAUUCUCCUAGACAUGUAUUGCCCUUUUUAGGAGUUUUCCCUUAUUUGUGGGAUUCACAGGCUAUUGUAUUCGUUACGAGAAUGUUGUGUGGCAACCUGAAGGCUGCAGGAUACAAAUGUUUCCAACUAUUAAUUUUUUAGAAGGUAAUUGUUGGGGGUUGAUUUCAACCUGGAUUAGGAUGUUAAUCCAUUACGACAUACAGGUUGUGUAAGACUCUUUGCGACCUAUUGAACUUAUGAAUGGGAAAGGAAGGUGAUUUGGCUUCUGUAGCAAAUCUGUCAACUAUGAAUCUACAUCCGGCAAUUGUGAGUAUCUGUUCGCUCUGUGGUUUGUUGGUGUCCAGUGCACAUGUUAAUGGUGACUCUUGCGGGGCAAAAAAAUUAGAUGCAUUUAUGAUCGACGGGUAUGCAGCCAAAUCAGAACUAGUGGCUCCUAUCAUGUGACGAAUGCGUUUGGAAAGAACUUCAGGAAGGAGCUAUGUACAAGUGUACAAAUGAGUUUUGCUCAGGCAGAAAGCAAAAUCGAAGAAGGUAUGCACCAGGGUUUUUAGAUUGAUAUUCUGUAAUCAUAAAUAUCAUGUUGUUCCAUUAGAACUGCAGACCUUUUUCUGAAAGGAUGUCAUGUUGUGAACAACAACCUUUUGUAUCUACGACGAAAUUUUGCUAUCUACACUUACUUGCAACAGAUGGAUAAUUUUCUCUCAAUUUCCUCGCGGUGGAUCUUCUUUUUCUUUCAUUGUGCAGCACCAGCAACUUCCGGUGUAACUACCACUGUCAGUUUCCUCGAUCACUUUCCUAGCAGCCACCACGGACAUGACCAAGCUGUUACGAAGAAGAUGAAAAACCUGGGCCUAGGCGGCGAGGGGGAGCUCGUGAAGCCAAUGGGACCUGAGAGCAUCUGUAAGACCAGGUUAUGUGUGAGCUUUGUCGCCGGCAGGUCGUGCGCCUUCGGCGGCAGAUGCCCCUUGGCCCAUGAGAAAGUUGAAUUGUGCAAUCCUGCUGCAUCUCGAGAAGUCGAAGAUCAAGUGAUUCUCAUGGUGUUCAUGAUGGUCGUGCAUCUUUUAUUUUGCAGAAAUGCCUAAACAAAAACUUCUCUUGUCUAUUCUUGUUGUAAUAGGUGUGUUGAUGAAGAUCAACUUUUCUUGUCUAUUCUUAUCCAUUUCUUCUUCCGUUCAAUCAAUUCAUGAUAGGCAAGACAUCAAAAAUGGAGUGAACAGAAACUCAGUAUCAAUGAAGGCAUGGUAGACGCCAUUGUCCAAGAUAUUAAUAUUAGAGCAUCAAUGUUUUUAUCUUGGAAGUUCAAGCCUGUAAGUCGCUGGACUAAUGAGGCAGCCCAUGUUUUUGGCAAAAUCUGUUGAGAAGUCAGAAGAUCUGUGUACCUGAUGUUGUCAGGACACUGUUUGUAACGAUGAGAUUAUGAAUGAAAUGAAAGGGUGCCCUAGGUUUAUUUC